AAAAUCUUAUUUUUUGAUAGUAAAGUUAAAAUUAAGAAAUGGAAUAAUAAAUUUAAAAAUUCAGAAAAAAAAGGUUAGUUGAAGAAUCUAAGAAGGCCAAAAAAUUUUAAUUAGAAGAAAAAUAAUAAAUUCAAGGAAAAUUAUAAUAGAUGUUAAAAAUUUGGUCAUGAAAUUGAAGAUUGCAAGGUGACACUCUAACAGUCUAAAUGGCACUCUAUACUUCAAGGUAUCAGGGAGAGAAGGGUAUUGAUAACUAGGCUCUCACUACUUCCAUCGUUGAUGCCAAUUGCCUUAAUAACCAGGUCAAACAUUAAUUCUUCUCAUGAUUGGAUUAUUGAUUCUAAACGUUCUAAUUACUUUGCUAGCCAUAGAGAGAUAUUGGAUUCUCUACAUGAUUAUACUGGUUCUAAUGCUAUUGCUACAACUGAUGAUUCACUUUAUCUUAUUAAAAAUAUUAGUGACUUAUCUCUCACACCAUCUACCGGUUCUUCUAUUUCUAUAUAUAAUAUAUAUUGCAUGCCUGGUAUGAAUAAAAAUUUGAUUUUUGUCUCACAAAUCGUGGAUAAAAGGUAUCCAUUUUAUUUGGGCCUAUUACUAUUGAGAUUUAUGUUAAUGUUAGCUUCUGAAAAACUUAUUACUCAAGAUAAAAAAAUUAACAAAAUUUAUAUUAUAUCUGCUGGUAAUUCUUAUGUAGUUCAGACUAUUAAGUAAGACAUAGCACAACUGAUUUGCGGUAUGCUAGAUGUACUUAUGCAAAUUAUGACAGACUUCAAGACAUGCAGAGUAAAGGACUAGUUGAUAGACUUCCUAGAAUCAAAGUGAAUACUAGCAUUAACUUGCACUGAAUGCCAAUAAGGAAAGAUGCACAAGCUAUCCUUUAAGAGACCGGAACAAGAUCUUCUUGGCUACUAUAGUUGAUACAUUCAGAUCUCAUUGGAAGGAUGCUAUUUCUUACACCACAUCUAGACCAACUGCCAUCAAGAGGCUGAUACUCCAGUAGCAACAUUUAUGUUAAGUCCGGUCAGUGCAGACUGAGUGAAUAUGGUGUACAUCCAAGGAAAGAUGCACAAGCUAUCCUUUAAGAGACCAAAACAAGAUCUUCUUGGCUACUACAGUUGAUACAUUCAGAUCUCAUUGGAAGGAUGCUAUUUCUUACACCACAUCUAGACCAGCUUCAAUCAAUAGGCUGAUACUCUAGUGGCAACAUUAUGUUUAAGUCCGGUCAAUGCAAACUGAGUGAAUAUGGUAUACAUCCAAGGGUGCGAGAAUUAUCGAUGNNNNNNNNNNNNNNNNNNNNNNNNNNNNNNNNNNNNNNNNNNNNNNNNNNNNNNNNNNNNNNNNNNNNNNNNNNNNNNNNNNNNNNNNNNNNNNNNNNNNNNNNNNNNNNNNNNNNNNNNNNNNNNNNNNNNNGAGGGAUGAUGGUUGGCCAACAGCUACAACUACCCAUGCAUAAGAGGAGUGGUCAAACUAUCACCAUGCAUGGGAAUAGUGGCCCAUGUGGCCUACAAUAACAAGCACAAGUAUCUAUUAUGAGCAAUGAUACCCAACUUCACACUACCUAUGAUGUGAGAGGUGGUGUUUACACCAUAUCUCGACAACUAAGCUAGAAAAGCCGUGAGUAAGCACCACAUGGAUAGGAUAAGAUGAAGUAAAGAUAAAUGAAAAUCACAUGACCCUUGUUGGGUUGGAAAGAGUCCGACCAUAAGAAAUUUUACCUAUGGCAUAGACUGAAGAGGAUGAGUUCAACCAUGGUAUUGAUAAGUAGGCCAAAAGCUCAAGACUUGGCCAUAAUAAAUCAUAAUGCAAGGAAAAUGGCUAGUGGGAGUAGGCCAAAGUGAUUGAAUCGGUCUCCAAGACAUUCGCAAAGUGCAGAAGAUCAUAUUGUAGGAUGGAGUGAAGAAACAUAACUAAUGUAAGCGUCCAAAUAAGUCCAGACCAAAAAGAGAUAAAUAAUGGCAAGACAGUUGCAAAAAAACUAUGCCGACAAUUGUGCAUAGUGGAGGAUAACCGGCGUCAGCUAUCAAAACUGCCAGAAGGGGAGGCUAGACAUGGUGGCAACAGUCAAAGUAUGCAUUUAAUAUUUAUUAGUAUAAAUAAAUGAAAAUUAUAAUUUAUGGAUCAUUCGACAAUCAAAUCAAUGCAUUUUAUCAUAUUUUAGUUGACCAUAGUUUCUAUCUUAGGAGUAGGAGUAACUUAGACUUCUACUACCUUAUCUUACUUUAAUACCAACUUUAUCCGAUCAAAGAGAAGAAAGAAUUUCCUCAACUUGCCCAACUCAAAUCUCUUAAAAGAAAAUUAGAAAAAGAUGAGGUAUAUGUCCCCUAUCUAUAAUAGUAGUGAGAUCCGCUUUUGCACAAUACAUAUCAUAUUCCUUUACUAGAUCGAAUAGGACUAAAUUUUAAAAAUAAAUAUGACUAAUAGAAAUAAUCAUUAAAAAUAAAUUUUACAGAAUGUAGAUCUCAACUCCUACAUCAACUUUACCUUUUGUCGCUUCGCCUAUUUUUUUUUUUGGUUAAACACCUGAUCAAAGUUUUUUUUGAAAAAAAAAACUUUCAAUUUGACCAGCCUAUUUCGAGCCCAAACGAUAGAAUUUAAUCUGGUUUACUAGAGUAUUGGCACAAAAGUUGUAGAUUUCGAAAAGUUACCCAAUUUUUUUUAAAAAAGAUCAUCUUAAUCGGAUGUCAUAUGACCAAAUUAUGAGCUCUGAAAGUUUGGCGCACGAUUUAACUUUCUAAUGUGGCGGAUUUUGAUCUUAGGCUCUGUUCAGCCCUAUCCAUAGUGGCCAAAGUGAUUUACACCAAAUCCUACUUAUAAUGGCUAAAGUGAUGGACAUUAAGUCUGAUAACCUUUUUGAAUUAAGAUAAAAAUGGAAAAAAUAGUUCGAGAGGCAUUUAGAUUUUCUCUGCUUCCAUAUGUAAUUGUAAGAUUGAAAUCAUCAAAGAUCCUUUAAAAUAAAAAAAAAUCUAUUCUUUCUUUCACAAUCAACAACUAAAUAUUUUUUUAAUGCAAAAUUUUAAUGCAAAAUCUAUAAAAUUUAAAUUGGAUCAAGGAGUUAUUGUGAUAACUUUGGUGGAAGGUUAUUAGGAACUCACAGAAAGCGGAUCCGAACGGAUGUUUUGCGCAUUUAUCGUAACAGUGCCGGUGCGACCUCAUCAGUCCCCAGCCGUAAUCGUGAAGGUAGGGACCUGUAUAGUACGACACUUCUGUCAGGUAAAAUUCUGAGGGGGAUUGAAGAAGAAGAAGAAGAAGUUGAUGAAAGAAGACCACCUCCAUAAUACGAACAUUGCUGCCCUUUAACCACGCAGUCACGACACAGCAUGGGGACCUUCCACGAUAUGUAAAACCCUCUCAGCAAAACGUCUUGAACCGCAGCCUGCGUACGAUUCCGAAGCAUGCCCGCCACUGGCACCGUCCCUGCGGUAGCGCAGCUCUUCCGAAGAUCUGCCACCGUCGCAUCCCCCGCCAGCGCAUACAAGUACUCUUUGGAGGAGGAAGAGUUAUCGACACAAGAAGCGACGAGGACAUAUAACGAAGGAUCGUCCACCGAUGAUGCGGGGCAAGUUACGAACGCGACGCUGUUGCUGCUUUGGUUCAUGUCGAAGGGAUCUCCAUACUUGAAUUUGCUCGGACGCAAGAAGGGUAGAGACUGCCGGGAGAGGUCGGCGAGGACGACGCGGGCCACCUGGUCCUCGUAGGAGAUCUCCUCCACGUAGUACUUGGUCGAAUACAGCUCCAAGACGGCUCGGUUCUGAUCACAGGUGAGUUGGUACUGGGGAUCGCCGCAGGUGGAAGGAUCGGUGGUCAGGCGAAAGGGGUAGCUUAUGUUCCGGAGAUCUCCGCAAGAAGAAGGCCGGCAGUCUUCUCCGGAGGCGAUGGUUUGCGUUAACAGCAAGAUGGCUAUAAUGGAGGCCAGCCGUCUCGGGUCCAUGGAUGGAGGAGAUGAGGCUUCAAAGAGCGGUGGAUUUGGGUAAAUAUUGUACUCGUGACUUGGGACAGGAAAUGCCGAUUGCAAGUUCGUCCCCCCAAAAGUUCAUCAAGGAAGUGCUGCCUAAUUUUCCACAAGAAAAUUCAUCAAGUAUCCUCUCGGCUUAUCUGAUUCCUACACUGAAGUGCUGCCUAAUGUUCCACAAGAAAUUAAUGCAUGUUUGACUCAGGAAGCUUCCUCCCGGCUGAUUUGAUUCCAAGGUGAUGUUGAAGUCACUGAGGCAGUCUUGCAUUUUUUUCCUCCCUUCUUGUAUUUCUGUUUGGAUGUAUUAUUAGCCGACUGGAUGGAUUGAUUUUGUUUGGCAGAAAGCAAAGGCGGAAACUCAGCUGGAAAUUUCGUGUGGAAAAAUCGUAUGGUCAGUAUUUUGUUCGAGCUCCUUGCGCGUGAGCAAUCCUUUCCAUGAUUAGGACGAGCUUGACCUCAUAGCUUAGAUCAGUUUCUUCCUGCGUUGUCUUCUUACCUGUGACUAUUCAGCAGCAAGGAAUUGAUUGAAUUGAUCGCUCUGUACCCAUGCAUGGAAAAGCCUUGGAGGCAGAAAGAGUGCAUAUUAUGCCCUGUUCACCGCAAAAGGCCUGAUUGGGAGUUAUUUAUGAUUGUAAGGAGACCACAACUUGCUACCAUUGCAAUCUUUGUAUGUGUGAAGGAGGAUGGGUAAGUAUAGUAUAAUGUAGAUAGAGGUUUAUACCCUUUUGGUGCAUUAUAAACCUUCUGUUAUAUAUAGUGUAUAGUUAGUUAGUUACAGUCAUAGAUCCUGUUGUGGAUAUGGGUUUGACCAUGGAUGGAAUGGGAACCAGAUUUUUAUACAGAUGAGUUAUAUGCCUGUGAUGAUGUAUUGAUAUAUAUUGUCCAGGUUCAUUAUGUGACAGGUUAUGUGAUUGCUGCUCUGACAGGUAGGGUUGUUGUAUGUAAUGAGAUAAUCCUGACAGGUCACCAUAGGAAAGGUGAUCAUUUUGUGCAUGCAUCAUGCCAAAAUUUUUCAGAAUUUAUUGAUGAUUGAUAGGUAGUAGGGUUCUACGUGGUGGCUGGUGGCCUUAUGCCUACCCGCACCCUAGGACCGUCGCGGCGGCCCGCCGGGAACGGGGCGGGGGUCGUGACAUAAUCAAGAAGUGCUUAAUACUUAAAUAUGUGAUUUGACUAUAUCCCCUAACAAGAAAAUCUUAUUUUUUGAUAGUAAGGUUAAAAUUAAGAAAUGGAAUAAUAAAUUUAAAAAUUCAAAAAAAAAGGUUAGUUGAAGAAUCUAAGAAGGCCAAAAAAUUUAAUUAGAAGAAAAAUAAUAAAUUCAAGGAAAAUUAUAAUAGAUGUUAAAAAUUUGGUCAUAAAAUAGAAGAUUGCAAGGUGACACUCUAACAGUCUAAAAUGGCACUCUAUACUUCAAGGUAUCAGGGAGAGAAGGGUACUGAUAACUAGGCUCUCACUACAUCCAUCGUUGAUGCCAAUUGCCUUAAUAACUAAGUCAAACAUUAAUUCUUCUCAUGAUUGGAUUAUUGAUUCUAAACGUUCUAAUUACUUUGCUAGCCGUAGAGAGAUAUUGGAUUUGCUACAUGAUUAUACUAGUUCUAAUGCUAUUGCUACGACUGAUGAUUCACUUUAUCUUGUUAAAAAUAUUAGUGACUUAUCUCUCAUACCAUCUACCGGUUCUUCUAUUUUUAUAAAUAAUAUAUAUUACAUGCCUGGUAUGAAUAAAAAUUUGAUUUUUGUCUCAUAAAUCGUGGAUUAAAGGUAUCCAUUUUAUUUGGGCCUAUUACUAUUGAGAUUUAUGUUAAUGUUAGCUUCUGAAAAGCUUAUUACUCAGGAUAAAAAAAAUUAACAAAAUUUAUAUUAUAUCUACUGGUAAUUCUUAUGUAGUUCAAACUCUUAAGUAAGACAUAGCACAACUGAUUUGCGGUAUGUUAGAUGUACUUAUGCAAAUUAUGACAGACUUCAAGACAUGCAUAGUAAAGGACUAGUUGAUAGACUUCCUAGAAUCAAAGUGAAUACUAGCAUUAACUUGCACUGAAUGCUAAUAAGGAAAGAUGCACAAGCUAUCCUUUAAGAGACCAGAACAAGAUCUUCUUGGCUACUAUAGUUGAUACAUUCAGAUCUCAUUGGAAGGAUGCUAUUUCUUACACCACAUCUAGACCAACUGCAAUCAAGAGGCUGAUACUCCAGUGGCAACAUUUAUGUUAAGUCCAGUCAGUGCAGACUGAGUGAAAAUGGUGUACAUCCAAGGAAAGAUGCACAAGCUAUCCUUUAAGAGACCAGAACAAGAUCUUCUUGGCCACUACAGUUGAUACAUUCAGAUCUCAUUGGAAGGAUGCUAUUUCUUACACCACAUCUAGACCAGUUGCAAUCAAGAGGCCGAUACUCCAGUGGCAACAUUUAUGUUUAAGUCCGUUCAGUGCAAACUGAGUGAAUAUGGUGUGCAUCCAAGGGAGCGAGAAUUAUCGAUCUAUGAUGAUCUAUGAUGAAUCUGUAUGGGAGUGGAGUCN
rnacentral:lncRNA from 1 species